rnacentral:rRNA from 1 species
CCCGGGCCUUGUACACACCGCCCGUCACACCAUGGGAGUUGGUUUUACCUUAAGCCGGUGCGCUAACCGCAAGGAGGCAGCCGUCCACGGUAAGGUCAGCGACUGGGGUG